UUUUUUUUUUUUUUUUUUUUUUUUUUUUUUCC
rnacentral:ribozyme from 1 species